rnacentral:rRNA from 1 species
UGAAACACGGACCAAGGAGUUUAAGGUGUACGCAAGUCAUUGAGUGAGCGAAACUCAAAGGCGCAAUGAAAGUGAGACCUUUGAGGUCGGGGAUGUGAGCGGAGAGCGUUUCGACGUUCCUCGUGCAACAUCGCCCCGUGAUUUGGACUCGUCCUGUUGCGGAGGCUGAGCGUACGCUUUGAGACCCGAAAGAUGGUGAACUAUGCCUGAACAGGAUGAAGCCAGAGGAAACUCUGGUGGAAGUCCGAAGCGGUUCUGACGUGCAAAUCGAUCGUCUGAUUUGGGUAUAGGGGCGCAAGACUAAUCGAACCAUCUAGUAGCUGGUUCCUUCCGAAGUUUCCCUCAGGAUAGCUGGUGCACGAUCGUCGCAGAUAUACUCGGUAAAGCGAACGAUUAGAGUCAUUGGGAUGUAUUAUUCUCAAACUAUUCUCAAACUCUAAAUGGUUAUGAUGUCGGUGUUUCUUGACUGAACACGCGGCGUUGAUUGCCGUGCACCAAGUGGGCCAUUUUUGGUAAGCA